rnacentral:rRNA from 1 species
UGGGGAAUUUUCCGCAAUGGGCGAAAGCCUGACGGAGCAAUACCGCGUGAGGGAGGAAGGCUUUUGGGUUGUAAACCUCUUUUCUUAGGGAAGAAGAAAGUGACGGUACCUAAGGAAUCAGCAUCGGCUAACUCCGUGCCAGCAGCCGCGGUAAUACGGAGGAUGCAAGCGUUAUCCGGAAUUAUUGGGCGUAAAGCGUCCGCAGGUGGUAACGCAAGUGGGGUGUGAAAGCCGCCAGCUCAACUGGCGGAGGCCAUCCCAAACUGCGUCACUUGAGGCCUGUAGAGGUAUGUGGAAUUGCCGGUGUAGUGGUGAAAUGCGUAGAGAUCGGCAGGAACACCCAGGGGGAAGCCAGCAUACUGGACAGGUCCUGACACUCAGGUGCGACAGCGUGGGGAGCGAACCGGAUUAGAUACCCCCGUAGUCC